GUAGGUCCAAUCCGGGAAGGAGAGGGAUGGGAGGAGGAGCACCGUUGAAACUCAACCGUGAAUGCACUUCCCAUCUAGAAUGUGAUUACCAUGUGCAUUGUACCACAUGGUAAGUUGUAGGAGUCUCCAGGAUCAACGAUAGCUCAGGCUUUGAAAAGCAAUAAGGCAGAAUCAUCUCCUCUCACUGAAUUAAAGAAAUACUUGGAAGACAAGAUCAAACAACCAGGAUUGUUGCAUUGCAAAUUGAAGCAACGGAACGGUUGGAAUAUGUAUCUGAUAAAUAUAAGACACAAGCACAGAUUGAUAUGCUGAAAAUCAUGGCCCUCCAGUCUGAUGUAACCUGGAUAAGGAAAAUGCUUAAAACUGUGACCUACCAGGCUGAGAUCCAGAAAACUGUAUUGUGAAAAUACUCUUACCUUUGAAGAGCUUAAAACAGUGCAUUUCUUAAUAUUCCUUUUAUCUAAUAAAUACAUUAAGUGUCACACACAGAGAGAUUGUAACCAUUCAGGGUUGGAUCAUUGUUAUAAUACCACUGAUUUCUGACAGAGCUUCAAAAGAAACUGAGCGACAAGGAGCAGAUUAAAAAACAAAAGUGCUGGCAGCUACAAACAGUGAUGUCAGUCAACUUAAUGAUUGUGAAUGUUUUGUACAGUACAAUCAUCUUUUAGUUUUGAGAGGCUCGUUCAUAGAACAUGAGCAGAACCCAGUGUAACUGGAUACUCAAUUUUAAACAUAUUUUUCAAAAGUACUAUUCAUUUCUUUGGGGAUAAAACCAGUUUAAUGAGAAAAAAUGAUGUAAAGUGCACUUUAAAAAAAAGUUAUAUGAGAGCUAAACGUCAAUUGAAUGGGAAUCUUAACUGUUCAAAAAAAUGCUUUAUUUGCAGAGAAAGAGAUUACUGUUCUCAAGAAAGUGUCAAUGCUGAAAAUACAAAUAGACAAAGCUCAAAAGAGGGCAAAGCAGAAAAUUAAAGGUUCUACUCACCUUUUUCUCAUCUAUUUCAUCAGUACCUGAGAGCAAUUUUAUCAACUGUGCUUUGUCACUGAGACUCCAUGGAUUCAUUUUCAGUCUCUAGGGUGUUCUGAGUCAUAGUCAAUGUUUUUGUAUCUAAAUUAUUCAUUUAAACAAUGCAAUUUUCGUCUCUGUUUCAGAUCUUGAAGAACAACUAAAAAUGAAUAAUGGGGCACUGAAUGACGCAACUAAAGAAUUGAAAGAGAAGGAUGCCAAAAUAGCAUCACAAAGUAAGUGGACAAGCACUGAAAAAUACAUUUGUCCAAUUUGCCAAUAAUUAAUUUGCCCAAUUAGAAAACUGUCUGGUUGGAUAACACAUGCAUUUGUGAUCAAUCAGAACUUCAGAUCUUUGCUGUAUAAUUCUUU